GUGUCAGCCGCCGCGGUAAUACGUAGGGGGCAAGCGUUGUCCGGAAUUAUUGGGCGUAAAGCGCGUGUAGGCGGCUCGGUAAGUCUGCUGUGAAAGUCCAAGGCUCAACCUUGGAAAGCCGGUGGAUACUGUCGAGCUCGAGUCCGGAAGAGGCGAGUGGAAUUCCUGGUGUAGCGGUGAAAUGCGCAGAUAUCAGGAGGAACACCAAUGGCGAAGGCAGCUCGCUGGGACGGUACUGACGCUGAGACGCGAAAGCGUGGGGAGCAAACAGGAUUAGAUACCCUGGUAGUCC
rnacentral:rRNA from 1 species